rnacentral:rRNA from 1 species
GACGAACGCUGGCGGCGUGCUUAACACAUGCGAGUCGAACGGAAAGGCCCUGCUUUUGUGGGGUGCUCGAGUGGCGAACGGGUGAGUAACACGUGAGUAACCUGCCCUUGACUUUGGGAUAACUUCAGGAAACUGGGGCUAAUACCGGAUAGGAGCUCCUGCUGCAUGGUGGGGGUUGGAAAGUUUCGGCGGUUGGGGAUGGACUCGCGGCUUAUCAGCUUGUUGGUGGGGUAGUGGCUUACCAAGGCUUUGACGGGUAGCCGGCCUGAGAGGGUGACCGGACACAUUGGGACGGAGAUACGGCCCAGACUCCUACGGGAGGCAGCAGUGGGGAAUAGUGCACAAUGGGCGGAAGCCUGAUGCAGCAACGCCGCGUGCGGGAUGACGGCCUUCGGGUUGUAAGCCGCUUUCGCCUGUGACGAAGCGUGAGUGACGGUAAUGGGUAAAGAAGCACCGGCUAACUACGGGC